rnacentral:rRNA from 1 species
GAUGAACGCUAGCGGCAGGCUUAACACAUGCAAGUCGAAGGGUAACAGGGAAGAGCUUGCUCUUCUGCUGACGACUGGCGCACGGGUGAGUAACACGUAUGCAACCUGCCCUCCACAGGGGGACAACCUUCCGAAAGGGAGGCUAAUCCCGCGUAAAUCAUCGGGAGGCAUCUCCGGGUGAGGAAAGACACGUCGGUGGAGGAUGGGCAUGCGGCGCAUUAGCUUGUCGGCGGGGUAACGGCCCACCGAGGCUACGAUGCGUAGGGGUUCUGAGAGGAAGGUCCCCCACACUGGUACUGAGACACGGACCAG